rnacentral:lncRNA from 1 species
GCUUUCGUAAAACUCUAAAGCCACUCAAGUGUAUAUUAAUUAUAUUAUCUUUUUUCCAGGAGUUUUACAAUUGCUUGCUUCAUUCCAACUACUUAAAAUUUUUUUAAAAGGCAACAGUACAGGACAAGCAGCAGAAAAUUGUGAUAAUUUUGUUUGCUGUAGAUUAUGCUGAAGCACAAAGAAUCACGACUAACAUUAGAGUAAGCACCAUUGGAAUUUGACAUCACAAGAACUAACGAAACAGAAACAGGGAUUCUUAGAGUUUUAAAACAUCCAAUCCAGAUCAUCAGUGAUUACCCCAAAAUCACAACAAGGAUAGUCUUAUAAAGGUAUCCGCAAAACCAAUCAACCAAACCCUUAUGAAAGAGGGCCAGCAACAUGACAAAGAAUUUCAGAAAGAAACCACCCCAAAAUAAAAUGUUGUAUUGGUAGAUAAGCUAACCUGUCAUCAAAAACAGAAACAAAUCU